GUUUUUAUAGUGUAACUCUAACACCUUGUAUUUUCAUUACAAAACUGAAAUUCUUUUUUCUAAAAAUA
rnacentral:tRNA from 1 species